GAGUUGGACCCUUGCUCUUUCAGGGGCCAGUGACUUUUGAGGAGGUGGCUGUGUAUUUCACCAUGGAGGAAUGGGCUCUGCUGGACCCUGUUCAGAGAGCCCUCUACAGGGAAGUCAUGCAGGAGAACUAUGAGACAGUGGUCUUGCUGGCAGGGUUUCCAGUUUCCAAACCUGAUGUGAUCUUACAGCUUGAAUGAGGGGAAGAGCUGUAGGUCCCAGACCUCCAGGGCUCUAGAAAGAAGUGCUUCCAAGAGCUGCCUUCCCAGAUAGUGAUCUAUGUCUGGAUUCUCUCUGUCUCCCUUCAGGUGAUGGGAUGGUGAGUCAGAAUGAGGAGGAGAAAUCCCAUCAGAAAGAUGCUGAGCAAGGAGAACCACAUGGAACUUUAUCAGGAAGAUCCAAAGGGAAUGUUUCCGGGAGUUGUACACUCUCAGAAAAUACAAAAGCCUGUGAGACUCAGGAGAGGCCAGAGGGAAAGUUUAGUAUCCUCUCAGACCUUGUAACAAGCGACAGAAUCAACUUGGAAGAGACACGCUACACAUGCCAUGAGUGUGGGAAAAGCUUUAGUCAGAGCUCUGCCCUUUUCAGACAUCAGAGAAUCCACACAGGAAUGUGUGUCCCUCCUGCCAGGAAUGUUCAUCAGCUCCAGGUGAGGGAGAGAGGUUUGAUCCCAACAAGGGACACUUGUUGCAGGCACAGAGGGUACCUGAGGCAAGCAACAGUGGUCGGUGCCUGGAGUGCUUAGCGCCAAUAAACACACCAGGGUGGAGAAGCGAGCAAAGUUUAUUUGAGAUCUCAAAGCGGUGCUGGGAGACACAGCACGCCUCAGAUCCAGCACACACAAUACAAACAGGUUACCUUUUUUAUACUUUACUUUUAACUAAGCCCUUCCCUUUUCCCUCCCUCCUCCUUGUAGCAGUUACAUUAAGCAGUUACACUAAACAGUUAAUCAAAGCUGGCGACUACAAGUCUCGCUUGUUAGGUCCGCUCCUUUGAAUUACGACCUUGUCCUUUCUUCUUUGUGAAUUGUUAUCUCCUCUCCCUCGGCCAAAAGUAUGCAGGCCUCGUUAGUUCUGCCUUAUACUAGUUUGAGCUGUAUGGCAACUGAUAACGGAUGUUGCACCUGGCCUUUUCUAUUUAUUGGCCUGUUAGGUCAAUUAGAGUUUAAACAUGGAAGGACUUUUGCUCACCAGAGGCCUAAAACAGGGAGACUUUAUAUCCUUAUUGCCUUCCACUUUUCCAAGUUACUUAGGAUUAUGCUUUUGUGACACCAACACACUGAGGCAAAAACUACUUCUGCCUUCCAUCCACUAGGACUGUAUAUGUCGUUGGCUGCUCAAGUUAGUGAUCUUAAUGUAAAAGUUGUAGUGCAGAUGCAGCCCAGGUGCAGUGAUUGGCAUUAGUUUUCCCCUUGACCUGACCUAAACUCCAUCACUUCUCCUAGUCUAAACAAACCCUGAGCAUCACAGUUAUACUGUUCCCCCAUUUCAAAGCGAUUGCUAGUCAUCAAGUUCUCCCUUGGGGAACAAAUUGUUUCAUUCCCAGUUGCUCUGAUGUUGCUUCAGGUUGUGCUGGAGAGCAGAUAUUUUUAUUAUCAUUUUCCACACUUAAAAUAUAUUGAACUAUAACAAAGAGCAGGAACAGGCCAGGGAUAGGGAAAAAAGUCAUUUCACCCAUUGUAACAACAGAUGUAGUUAGGGUAAGUCAGAGGGAGUCCCUUAUUCCCCAUCGCUAUUCUCCUUCAAUCAGUGCUAGAACCUAAGAAUCCUUUUCCUUUCCCCAGUUGUGGGAUGGGAGGCUUUCAAAAGUGCUCCCUGUGCUAUAGUACAUGGCUAAGCUCAGAGAAUAAACCCUAAAUCUCCCCUGA